rnacentral:lncRNA from 1 species
CAUAUAUAACAUAACUGACAUUAUUUCCACACUAAAAUAUAUUUGCUCUGUGUAAUAUACAGAUUAUAGUAUUAUUAAUAUUAAAUAAGUGCGCAGUGAACGUUUCGCGAAUGAGUGAGUGAGUGAGUGGUUUUACUGGACACGUUAGGCACAGACGCGUUUCACGUUUGGCGGGGAAGUUUUCUUUUCCCUCCAUCGUGGUUCCCCGGGGCGGUCUCCGUCUGCGUUGUUUCUGAGCGUCUUCACCGCGGUCCGCAGACGCCCGGGGACCAGCCUGCGCCUGCCGGGCGGGGCGCCCACUGACGGGUUUGGCAGGCCGCGCGAGGCCUGUCCGUUAUCUGGAUGCGAAUGGACCUUCCUUCGGUUUUUGGUCUGGGCUUGAUUUCCAAACUGGCCAAGAGACCCGGGCCCGCGGGGUGAAGCGGGGGCCACAUGCUCGUGGAAGUCCCUCCGGCCUUGUUGGGACGGCCGAGAGGCAGGGAGCAGCUCUCUGCUCGAAACACGCUGGCAGCUGCGGGAUGGUGAAGUGUCCUGUUAACUCCUCCCCGUGGACCGGGUCCUGAGAACUCGAAUCUUACUGCUUAGUGGAGGAGAAGACGUGUUUCUCAGACAGGACUUGGGAGGCCGUCUCCUUCCUUGUGUACAUCCUAAAAAUCUUCAGCCUGAUUCUUUAGGGCAAUUGGCCAAGUUUUCUACGUACGUUAAUUGAGAGGUUUAUCAAUAGACGGAAAAGAGGCGAUGCUGUCUGAAAUUGUUUAACUGAAGCCUGACUCUCGAUCCUGAGCUUUGGAGACAGUCCAAAUCUGUUUAGACUGAUCGUCCUUCUGCCUCCACAUUCACAUAUCGAAGAUCUAACCGUGGUACUCAUCACUGCAUCUGGAGACGGAGCCUCGAGAGAGGUGACCAAGUCAAAAUGAGGCUGCUGGUGUGGGCCCCGGUCCAAGCUGACGGGUGUCCUUCUGGAAAGAGUAAAUGUGAGCACGUGGGGACAGGCGUGUGCACAGAGGGGUGGCCACGUGAGGAGGCAGCGAGAGGCGCCGUCUGCGAGCCGAGGGGAGAGGCCUCAGGAGAAACCCCCCAGGCCGGCACCUUGAUCUCCAGCCUCCAGAACUGCGAGAAACAGAUUCCUCUUGUCACCCAACUGUGGUCCUUGGUUGCAGCAGCCCCAGCAAACUCAUAACCACACAGAGGAAAAGACAGCCCACUGGAUGACAGGAAACUGAGAGAACUUUAGGAACAUUGAGGGUGACAAGUGAAAUAAAAUUGAAGGAAUAAAAACCCCUCCAUAUAUCUGUGCUUACUCUGCUUGCU